UACUCACUUUCGCCACUGAAAAUGUUUACAUGCUCAUAAUAUUCCGGUUUUUGCCCUAAUUCUGAAAAUGGUGAUAUUUCGACUAAGCUGUUUACAUAGCUAAUGAAAGUGAAUAUUCCACUAAUA